GGCCAACUGGAGCUCUUCCUUCAAUUCAGAAAGGAACGAAAAGAAAAAAAAUAGUGUUAGGGGCAAAAAUGGUAUAUGAGGAAUCCAGCAUAAAUCAGUUCUUGAUCACAUUGGCAUAUAUAGCCAGCUACCUAGAAUAUUCCAUUUACGACCAUGUACUGUUACAAACAGCAAACCAGUAUAUCCAAGAUGUCAAGUAUGAUCUAUCUGAAUUAAAAUCUGCUUACAGAAAAUGACAUUGCUAUGAUCACUAAACUCUAGCAGACCCAUGUGAAGGGCCAUACUUAUAACUCCAAGAAACACUAGACCCAAAAAUGCUUCUUUCUUGCCUUCUUACACCGGAGAAUGGGUAAGUGGUCACUUAUUAAAUUCACAUUUCUUGUGGUCAAACAAAUAAGACGAUGAGAAUUUAAAUUUAACAAACACAUCAACUCUUAUUACGCAUAUGGGUAUCUUCUAUCACAAGAUCACAGAAUUUGUUCUGUAUUCAGGUAAGAGGUGGCCUAUGAAUUGAGAGAGAGAGAGAGAGGGCGUGCUAGAAAAG
rnacentral:misc_RNA from 1 species